GGCGAACGGGUGAGUAACACGUGGGUGAUCUGCCCUGCACUUCGGGAUAAGCUUGGGAAACUGGGUCUAAUACCGGAUAGGAGCCAUCUUUAGUGUGGUGGUUGGAAAGUUUUUCGGUGUAGGAUGAGCUCGCGGCCUAUCAGCUUGUUGGUGGGGUAAUGGCCUACCAAGGCGGCGACGGGUAGCCGGCCUGAGAGGGUGUACGGCCGCAUUGGGACUGAGAUACGGCCCAG
rnacentral:rRNA from 1 species